rnacentral:lncRNA from 1 species
AGACUUGUGCUGUGAGAGUCAUCCUUGCUGUGUGUGCGCGAAGCUGUUCAUUUCCUUGCUGUAUAGUGGAGCAGAGGCGAUCUCAGCUUUCCGGUGUCUACUCAAGAGAAUUCAAACAGGCGCUCAGACAGAUACCUGCGCACCCGCGUUCACAGCAGCAUUACCCACAACAGCCAGAGGCUGGACACUACCAAGGGUCUGUUAUGGUUGAAGAGAUAAACACAGUGUGUAUACAGUGGGGUGUUAUUCAGCCACGGAAAGGAAAGAAGCUCUGAGUCACACCGCAACAUGCCCUGGAAACUGUGAUCCAAUCAUAAAAUAUGAUAACAUAUUGUGAUUCCAUUUAUGUGAAAUGUCUGCAAUAGGCAAAUCCAUAAACACAUAAAGUUCAUGAGUGAUCGCCAGGGGCUUGGGGCAGGGGUCAGGAGGGGAAGGGGGAGUGGCUGCUAACGGGGACGGGGUGUUUUGGGGUGAUGUUUUGGGGUGAUGGGAAUGCUCUGGUGCCAGAUGGACGGUGCUGCUGGUUGCAACAACUCUGUGAACGUACCAAAUGCCACUGUACCGUUCAGGUUAAAAUAGGCAGGGCAUGGUGGCGCGUGCCUGUAGUCCCAGCUACUCGGGAGGCCAAGGCAGGAGGAUCACUCGAGCCCAGGAGGUCGGGAGCUGCAGUGAGCUGUGAUCACACUGCACUCCAGCCUGGGCAACAGAGUGAGAUGUCAUCUCUAAAAUUAAAAAAUAAAACCAAAUAAGUAAAAUAAAAUGGUUAAAAUGACACAUUUUGUUAUGUGAAUUUUGCCUAAAUAGAGUUAGCAGGGAGCAGGGGGGAUUCCAGGCUGAGGGAUCAGCAUCACUAGGGCCCAGGGGACAGAGGCGCUGCUCAGCGUGGUACCCAAGGCAGCAGCAAGGCCUUGUACAGAAAGCGAGGGGAUGGGUGCAAGAGGGAGCCUCCUGGCCAGUCCCCGAGCUUGCCUGGACCAUGACCUGAGAGCAGGAGGGGGUGCAAGAGGGAGCUUCCUGGACAAUCCCCG